UACAGAGGGGGCAAGCGUUGUUCGGAAUUACUGGGCGUAAAGCGCGUGUAGGCGGUCUAGCAAGUCAGAUGUGAAAUCCCGGGGCCUAACUCCGGACGUGCAUUUGAAACUACUAGGCUAGAGUGAUGUAGAGGAUGGCGGAAUACCCAGUGUAGAGGUGAAAUUCGUAGAUAUUCGGAGGAACACCAGUGGCGAAGGCGGCUCUCUGGGCCUUACCUGACGCUGAGGAGCGAAAGCGUGGGUAGCGAACAGG
rnacentral:rRNA from 1 species